CAACCUCACUGUAGGGAUGGGGAGUACAGGUUCUGGCCAUGGAAACAAGUAGUUGAAUCCUGAUUCAUACAGCUAUGUUAAUACCAGAGAAAAGGGUAUUUGGACUCAUGUACAGAUGGAAGGCAAUUUGAAGAUGGAGGAAGCAGAUGGUCAUCUACAAGCUGAGGAGACAGGCCUGGGCUAGAUCUCUCCCUCACAGCCUCAGAAGAAACCAACUCAGUGGACAAGGAUUCUCAAAUAUCCAGUCUCCCAAAUUGUGAGACAAUAUAUUUCUCUUGUUUAAGCCACUGGUCUGUGGUAUUUUGUUUUGGCUCUAGAAAACUAAUAAGAUUCUAGAACUCAUC